rnacentral:rRNA from 1 species
AUGCUGGUUUUUCCAGGUCUACGACUACGAGCACCAGUUCCAGCAGCCCAGCGAGGGCGGCAUCCUCCCGGUUCUCCUGAUGUGCUCUGCCUGCUCCGCCGUCCUCGCGGCGCUGCGGUCCCUCUUCGACUCUGCGGCAGCUCGCUGCUCGUCCGCGGUGUGCCUCGUGGACGCGAGCUUGCUCAUCAACUUGUCUUGCGCACGGGCUCGCAUCCUCUCCACCUCGACCUUGAGAAAAAUGCUAGACUCAUUAAUACGGACAAUGGGUCUAUUACAAACUUGGACAUGGACAGAUGGUGCCUCCACAAAGAAAAGGAAAAGACAUCCCAGUCUCACAUAUUUCAUGAUAUCUAA